rnacentral:rRNA from 1 species
UACGUAGGGUGCGAGCGUUGCCCGGAUUUAUUGGGCGUAAAGGGCGCGCAGGCGGCUACGCACGUCCGUUGUGAAAUCGCUCGGCUCAACUGGGCGGGGUCGGCGGAUACGGCGUAGCUGGAGCAAGCUAGGGGGCAAUGGAAUUCCCGGUGUAGUGGUGGAAUGCGUAGAUAUCGGGAGGAACACCAGUGGCGAAGGCGGCUUGCCAGAACGCGCUCGACGGUGAGGGAUGAAAGCUGGGGGAGCAAACCGG